AUUGAACGCUGGCGGCAGGCCUAACACAUGCAAGUCGAGCGGAAGCAGAGAGCUUGCUCCUGGAUUCAGCGGCGGACGGGUGGGUAAGGGCUAGGAAUAUGCCUGUUUGUGUGGGAGAACGUCCGGAAACGGGCGCACAUACCGCAUACGCCCUGAGGACGAAGGGGGGGGAUCAUCGGACCUUCCGAUAUCAGAUGAGCCUAGGUCGGAUUAGCGAGUUGGUGGGGUAGAGGCCUACCAAGGCGACGAUCCGUAGCUGGUCUGAGAGGAUGAUCAGUCACACUGGAACUGAGACACGGUCCAGACUCCUACGGGAGGCAGCAGUGGGGAAUAUUGGACAAUGGGCGCAAGCCUGAUCCAGCCAUGCCGCGUGUGUGAAGAAGGCCUUCGGAUUGUAAAGCCCUUUAAGUUGGGAAGAAGAGCAGUAAGUUAAUACCUCGCUGUUUUGACGUUACCAACAGAAUAAGCACCGGCUAACUUCGUG
rnacentral:rRNA from 1 species